AUGAAUGCCACAGAAUGGUGGUUCAAUUAUGGCUCACAAAGUCCAACUUUAAGUGAGGUGGCAAAGAAAGUCUUGUCUCAGCCAAUAAGCAGCUCCUCUGCCGAAAGAAAUUGGAGUACCUACUCAUUCAUACAUAAUUUAAAGAGAAACAAGCUGAAUGCAACGACAGCCGAUAAGCUUGUCUUUAUUCAUGCAAACGAGCGUCUGAAGAGGAGGUUUUCAGAGGGCUACAAUUCAGGUCCACAUUAUAAGUGGGAUGUUGAGCCUGAGAAUGAUUUGCUGGAGGAUUCAAGCUUGAAGCUUGAGCAGCUGCGUUGGGAUAGCUUGGAGGAUGAAGCAGCUGAUACUGAACCACCACGCAAAAUUCAGAGGACUUGA
rnacentral:rRNA from 1 species